CUCAAGCGAUGGGGUGACGCAGGAAGGUAGCUGGGCCAGUCAGUGGUUGUACUGGUGUAAGAGUGUAGGCCGUGACAUAGGCAAAUCCGUGUCACAUUAAGGCUGAGACUUGAUGCAUACCCGUUGUGGGGAAUUCAGUGAUCCUAUGCUGCCGAGAAAAGCCUCUAGUGAGUUCAUACACGGCCCGUACCCCAAACCGACACAGGUGAUCAGGUAGAGAAUACCAAGGCGAUCGAGAGAACUGUGGUUAAGGAACUCGGCAAAAUGCCCCCGUAACUUCGGGAGAAGGGGGACCAUGCCCGGUGAACAUCUUCACGGUGGGAGCUGGGUGUGGUCGCAGAGACCAGAGAGAAGCGACUGUUUACUAAAAACACAGGUCCGUGCGAAGACGUAAGUCGAUGUAUACGGACUGACGCCUGCCCGGUGCUGGAAGGUUAAGAGGACCGGUUAGCCGUAAGGCGAAGCUGAGAAUUUAAGCCCCAGUAAACGGCGGUGGUAACUAUAACCAUCCUAAGGUAGCGAAAUUCCUUGUCGGGUAAGUUCCGACCUGCACGAAUGGCGUAACGACUUCUCUGCUGUCUCGACCACAGACUCGGCGAAAUUGCACUACGAGUAAAGAUGCUCGUUACGCGCGGCAGGACGAAAAGACCCCGGGACCUUUACUAUAGCUUGGUAUUGGCGUUCGAUUCGGUUUGUGUGGGAUAGGUGGGAGACUGUGAAGCAUGCACGCCAGUGUGUGUGGAGUCGUUGUUGAAAUACCACUCUGAUCGUAUUGGACGUCUAACCUCGGCCCAUGAUCUGGGUUAGGGACAGUGCCUGGUGGGUAGUUUAACUGGGGCGGUUGCCUCCUAAAGAGUAACGGAGGCGCCCAAAGGUUCCCUCAGCCUGGAUGGCAAUCAGGUGUUGAGUGCAAGUGCACAAGGGAGCUUGACUGUGAGACUGACACGUCGAGCAGGGACGAAAGUCGGGACUAGUGAUCCGGCACCGGCAAGUGGAAGCGGUGUCGCUCAACGGAUAAAAGGUACCCCGGGGAUAACAGGCUGAUCUUCCCCAAGAGUCCAUAUCGACGGGAUGGUUUGGCACCUCGAUGUCGGCUCGUCGCAUCCUGGGGCUGGAGUAGGUCCCAAGGGUUGGGCUGUUCGCCCAUUAAAGCGGCACGCGAGCUGGGUUUAGAACGUCGUGAGACAGCUCGGUCUCUAUCCGCCGCGCGCGUAAGAAACUUGAGGAAGGCUGUCCCUAGUACGAGAGGACCGGGACGGACGAACCUCUGGUGUGCCAGUUGUUCCACCAGGAGCAUGGCUGGUUAGCUACGUUCGGAAGGGAUAACCGCUGAAAGCAUCUAAGCGGGAAGCCUGUUCCAAGAUGAGGUUUCUCACCACCUUGCGUGGUUAAGGCCCCCUACAGACCAUGGGGUUGAUAGGCCGGAACUGGAAGCGCAGCAAUGCGUGGAGGUGACCGGUACUAAUAGGCCGAGGGCGU
rnacentral:rRNA from 1 species